AUAAUCUUGGAAUUUUUGUUUGCUUUUGGUUAAACCUUCCCCACCAGAUGAUGAGAUAAUCAUGAUCCAUACUCAAAUGCUGCACACCAAACUCGGAGAGAGAGAGAGAGAGAGAAAAUAAAAAAUAAAAAAUGGAAGUUAUUAUGAGCAUUUGCAAGGUGGUGAUGGGAACCUUUCUCUUUGAGAUUUUUUUUGUUCCAAACUUGAUGCUUCUUUUGGGUGUUCAGAGCUGAGUGAGGCAGAAAGCGGUUGUUAUUGGAAAAAGAACAACACUUUGCUAUCCUCAUUCUCUCAACAAACAAAAAUUGUUGUCUCAGUCAGUGAGAUUGCCAAAAUGACAACUGGUUCUGAUUCAGCUUCUUGUGCUGUUGUGUGAGUUAUUAUUACCAUUACCCCCCACCCAAAUGCCCUUGCUACUCUUCCAACCUCUCCCUUUUCAUCAUCAUAUACAUAAAAAGCCACACUCUGACUGCUGCACCAACAUAGAUAACAUCAACAUCAACAACAACAACCUUGGACCACUACCACAGUGUCUGAUUUGAGCUGGUUUGUUGAGAUAUGAAGUGGAUUGCAUUCAAAGUUCUAGUCUUUGUUUGGUUCUGUUGAAGGGAAACAUCAUAAAGCAUCAAACUUUAUGAGUUUUUGGAGCUGGAUUGCUGGCAGAAUUUCUGGGUCUGCUUCAGUUUUUUCUUUUGUGGUUAAACAAUUUGAAGAUUCAUGGUGGGGUGCUUUUGGUGAUGCUGUUUUUUGGAAUGUUCUGCUGAAAGCUGGAACCUUCUUAAAUUUGAAUCUUCAAGUGAGUUUGUGAAGAAUUGUGCAGCUUCAACAGAUUUCUGAUGAUUCCAUGAAUCAAGUUUCUCACUGAGUGAAAUCCUUUAUCUUGCUAAUGUGUGGGUUCAGCAAAAAGAUCAGGUAUUUGGAAAAUCAUUGCAGUAUGUGGAGCUCUUUAGACAAGUAGGAGAGUAUCCUCCAAAAUUAAGUUGAAAUGCCUGCUUGCUGUUUCUUACUUAAUAUAUACAUUCAAUCACAUUAUGUUGUUUAUCAUGAGGUUGUUAAUGAUGAUUGACCUAAUUUUGUUUCAUAUACUCACUGAACAUUUCUGUUAUCUUUUUUGAUUUUUAAUUUUCCUUAGAGUAGUAUCAUUUUAUUUCUUUUCACCUUUAGUCUUUCUAAAAAUAGAAGUUAUUUUAUUAUACUUUUUGAAAGAGGGAUUGUGUUCAUUGUUUGAUAAAUUAAGGACCAUUGUAUUUCAGGUAGUACACCUUACAAACGAGUUAAGAGCAUCAGCCUAUGAUUUUACAUGACUAGAAUAGAGUUAAAAAUGUGUAGUCACAUUGCCUUCAUUACUUAUAUUCUAUUGGAUCUGAAGAAACUAGAGAUGCAAUGGUAGUAUAUUUUGGCAUUGUAGUCAGAUUCUAUUAAUGAAAUUGGAGAGAGAAUUUUAGGCUCUCAAUUGAGGAAACUGCUAUGUCAUGAUCAUUUAUGAAUUGUGACUGGUGUUUUAUUUUUUAUAAACUGUUAUUGUCAUGAUCAUUCUACCUUGCUCACUCAUUACUUAUUUAACCCAUGAUUUUAGUUUAGGUUAUUUACCUACAAGCAUACACUACUACUGACUAUCAAGUAUUUGGCAGUAUGUUUUCAUCCUUCCAUGUAUUGGUGACUAUGUAUUUUGUUGCGCUAAGAAAUUUAUCCUCUUUGGAUCAUAAAGUGAGUAUUGUUUGACAAAUGGUGCACUCUGUGGUGGUUUUCAGAUGAAAUUAAUGAAAAACAAUUAGUAUAUUAGCUGUUUUUAGAAUUGGCUGAAGUAGACAGUGAGUCGUUUCUACUUUUCUUUGCUACUGAGAAAGUAAUUUUCCCUUUCAACAAUAGUGUUGCAGGCAAACAUAUUCAUAUAUGUGUAUUGUGAAUAAUUGUUUUUGGCAGUUUCUAAACUAAUUGAACUGUGAAUUGGUUGUGCAUAUAAACUAAUAACUGUUUUUGGCAGUUUCUAAGUCAGUGCUAGUACCACUAGAAGAGUAACUCAGAAGUAUGAAACCAGGAUUUUAUAAUUUAGUUCUUUGUAAUAUGUUGUGAUGUGAUGUUACUGUUGAAUUAGGUAUCAUGGAUUAUACUUGUUCAUCUAACAACUCUCAACUAUCAACUUCACGUGUCGACUGGAAGUGAGUUUCCACCAAAUAACAAACUGUGCACUUAUUAAGGAACUGGAUUUCUUUCAAACACCUCCCCCUUUACACGAUCUAUUUCUCCAAUGAAUAACCGUAUUUCAUCUCUUUCAACUUCAGUACCUUCAUAUACAUCCAUAUAUAUAUAUAGUCUGAUUUUUAUUAAUAAAGUGACCAUUAUUAUUAUUAUUAGCUAGUUUACUAACAAAUGGCCCAUUUAUUUAUUAAUCUGAUAUAAGGAAAAUAUAUAUUCGUUACCAAAAGAAGAAAAAUAUAUAUUCCAAAAUUUGCUUGUUGUUUUAGAUUUGAAAUUUGAAAUAAAUCACAUACAUACAUACAUUGGUUCCAAUUUUCAUCGAUUUUCACCUUCCUGAUCAUAUACUCAAUCGACGUCACCAUGGCCACGACCAAGGAGGAUGCGGGAUGGCUGAACCCGGACAAGAUGCUGUCAAUCCCACUGAAGAAGAGUGAUCCGGUGGAGCUGUACAGGCCGUUACGCAAGUUGGUAGCAACAAAAUACUCAGAGAGCGAUGCAGAGAAAGUUGAAAGCGUUCU